rnacentral:rRNA from 1 species
AUGUCCGGCGAAGACACCGCAGCACCGCAGGUCAUGGAGGACCUGCCGAGCGUCCUCAAGCUCCUCAGCGACGGCUCAGUCGUCCGCGGCGACGAAGCCGUGCUCUGGCCAAAGGACCCGUUGCCGGACGUCCCCGGCGUGCAGUGGAAGGACGCCAUGUACCACGCGCCGCGCGGCCUUAGCGUCCGCGUGUACAGGCCGUCGCCAUCGGUGACGACGGCCGGUGGCCCCAAGCUCCCGGUGCUGGUGUACUUCCACGGCGGUGGCUACUGCAUCGGCUCCUUCGCGCAGCCACACUUCCACACCUACUGCCUCCGCGCCGCCGCCGAGCUCCCGGCGGUCGUGCUGUCCGUCCAGUACCGCCUCGCCCCCGAGCACCGCCACCCCGCGGCCAUCGAGGACGGCGCGGCUUUCCUCUCCUGGCUGUGCGGCCAGGCCGAGCUCGGAGUUGGCGCUGACCCGUGGCUCGCUGAAACGGCCGAUUUUGGCCGGACGUUCAUCUCCGGCGCAUCGGCGGGCACCAACCUGGCCCACCACGUCACGGUCCAGGUCGCCUCGGCGCAGCAAGACGUCCACCCGGUGCAUAUCGCCGGGUACGUCCUCAUCUCUGCGUUCUUCGGUGGUGCCAAGCGGACGGCGACGGAGGCUGACCCCCCGGCGGACGUGUCCCUGACGGUCGAGGGAUCCGACAUGUUUUGGCGCAUGUCGCUUCCGGUGGGGACGAACAGGGACCACCCGGUGGCCAACCCGUUCGGCCCGGAGAGCCCCAGCCUUGCGUCCGUGGUGGCGCCGGAGAGCGACGUGCUCCGCGACCGCGUGAUGGGGUACGCCGCGAGACUGAGGGAGAUGGGGAAGGCCGUGGAGGUGGCCGAAUUCGCCGGAGAACAGCACGGGUUCUCUGUCCUCCGGCCGUUCGGCGAGGCAGCCAACGAGCUGAUGCGUGUCCUCAAGCGGUUCGUGUACACAGAUACCACACGUAAUAGUACGUCCCACUGA